rnacentral:lncRNA from 1 species
CUUCAGCCUUCAUGCAGGCAAUAUAAUACAGAACACGCCAUCUCGAAUAAUAGACAACACUGGACAGUCACAAUUUUCAUUCCUGUUACUUUGACAAGGUUUCUUCAGGGGGUCAAGAAAUGAAAUGUUCACAUCAAGGGAGAUGCACAGCUUCUUGAGAAGAGGAUGUAUUCCUUAUGUACUUCCUCCCAGAGAGAGAGGGGUUCUGACCUAUGAUUUGGCAUAUGGAGAUGUUGGC